GCACAAGCGGUGGAGUAUGUUGUUUAAUUCGAAGAUACACGAAGAACCUUACCAGGUCUUGACAUACCAUUGACAGGCGCAGAGAUGUGCUCUACUUCGGUACAUCGGUGACAGGUGGUGCAUGGUUGUCGUCAGCUCGUGUCGUGAGAUGUUGGGUUAAGUCCCGCAACGAGCGCAACCCCUAUUGUUAGUUGCCAUCAUUCAGUUGGGCACUCUAGCGAGACUGCCGGUAAUAAACCGGAGGAAGUGGGAUGACGUCAAAUCAUCAUGCCCCUUAUGACCUGGGCUACGCACGUGCUACAAUGGUUGGUACAACGAGUUGCGAGUCGGUGACGGCGAGCUAAUCUCUUAAAGCCAAUCUCAGUUCGGAUUGUAGGCUGCAACUCGCCUACAUGAAGUCGGAAUCGCUAGUAAUCGCGGAUCAGCACGCCGCGGUCGAAUACGUUCCGGCCUU
rnacentral:rRNA from 1 species